CCCUUAGACGUUCUGGGCCGCACGCGCGCUACACUGACCAGUGCAACAAGCAUCCGUCCUUGGCCGACAGGCCCGAGCAAUCUUUGAACGCUGGUCGUGAUGGGGAUAGACUUUUGCAGUUUUUGGUCUUCAACGAGGAAUUCCUAGUAAACGCAAGUCAUCAACUUGCAUUGAUUACGUCCCUGCCCUUUGUACACACCGCCCGUCGCACCUACCGAUUGAAUGGUCCGGUGAAGCCUCCGGAUUGGCGCGCACCUCGGUGCCGCCGAGAAGUUGGCUAAACCUUACCAUUUAGAGGAAGGUGAAGUCGUANCA
rnacentral:rRNA from 1 species